UAUUGGGAACAAAAACAGUCACAUAUCUCAUCCCCUGUCCUAGUCUCAAAGCCUGUAAAGGUGAACCCAAUGGGGCUGGCUGGUAGAGAGGAGGAAAUUUUGUUCCAGAAGUUACUGUCUGAAAGCU
ensembl:snoRNA SNORD22 Small nucleolar RNA SNORD22